GAAACGACUAUCAUCAUUUAUAUUUUCUAACAUUAUUGCUGGAUUACACAUUUCUGUAAAAAAAAAUGAAGACAAUGAAAAAUUGUAAUGGCAGUUUUGUUCCUGUGAUACAAUGUUGUCCAUCCAUUUUGUUUUGGAAAAAAACAGAUGCUGAUAAAGCAGAUUAGCCUGAGUACAUGUACUUUAAAAGCUGUAAUUGUGAGGUAAUUAUUAAUUAAAAAAUAACCUUGAUAUGAUUUGAAUCAUUUGUUUCAGUAUUAAUAUCAGUUUGUCAACUUUUAUAUACUUGUGUCAAAUUAAACACAAAGCCAUGGUAAGCGAUGAAAUAUUUAAAUAUCAUAGCUCAACUACUAUGUACUGAUCAAUACAAAAGUUGAAAUGAGUUUAAAGGGUGUUACCAUGUACAUUGUACUACCCUUGUUAAGUAGCAAGUAAAUGUAGUCUUACUCUUACAUUGAGUGUUAAUGAGGAAACUCAAUUGAAAAUUGCACCUUUGAUAAAAGUUGUAUGUCACCAGCGGUAAAACUUAAGCUGAAUGUUCUUCGUAACAUCAUUUGUAUUUCAAAGUCAAUCAGUAAAAAAACAAUACUUAUUAACAAUGUUUUGUAUCUUCUAUUGUUGUUUGAUUUAGAUGGAGGAUGGAAGAAAGCAAACAGAAGCAAUAAAUACAAGUAA
rnacentral:lncRNA from 1 species